GAGUGAGGGAUGGAUGGAUGGAUGGAGAGGGAGGGAUGGAUAUGGAUGGAUGGAUAGGGAUCCCUCUCUAUCCAUCCCUCCCUAUUCAUCCAUCCCUCUCCAUCCCUAUCCAUCCAUCCACCC